rnacentral:tRNA from 1 species
GCCCAAGUGGCUCAGAGGUUGGGCACCUGCCUUUGGCUCAGGGUGUGAUCCCAGAUUCCAGGGGUUUGAGUCCCAUAUUGGGCU